rnacentral:rRNA from 1 species
UACGAAGGGGGCGAGCGUUGUUCGGAUUUACUGGGCGUAAAGGGCGCGUAGGCGGCGCCGGAAGUCAGGCGUGAAAGCCCCGGGCUCAACCUGGGAGGUGCGCUUGGGACUCUGGUGCUUGAGUUCGGGAGAGGAGAGUGGAAUUCCCAGUGUAGAGGUGAAAUUCGUAGAUAUUGGGAAGAACACCGGUGGCGAAGGCGGCUCUCUGGACCGAGACUGACGCUGAGGCGCGAAAGCGUGGGGAGCAAACAGG